rnacentral:sRNA from 1 species
CCUUUGUUGAGGUGGAAGUGGUGGAUGUCAAUGAAAACCUCCACACUCCCUAUUUCCCAGACUUUGCUGUUGUUGGAUCUGUAAAAGAAAACUCACGCAUUGGAACAAGCGUGCUGCAGGUGACUGCUCGAGAUGAAGACUCCGGAAGGGAUGGAGAGAUCCAGUACUCCAUCAGGGAUGGCAGUGGUCUUGGAAGGUUCAGUAUAGACGACGAGAGUGGGGUCAUCACUGCCGCAGACAUUCUUGAUCGGGAGACAAUGGGGUCAUACUGGCUAACAGUGUAUGCCACAGACAGGGGCGUUGUUCCACUCUACUCCACCAUUGAGGUUUACAUUGAAGUUGAAGAUGUGAAUGACAAUGCCCCGCUGACCUCAGAACCUAUAUAUUAUCCUGUUGUCAUGGAAAACUCUCCAAAGGACGUAUCUGUCAUUCAGAUCCAGGCUGAAGAUCCUGACUCCAGUUCCAAUGAAAAACUGACAUACAGGAUUACAAGUGGAAAUCCUCAGAAUUUUUUUGCCAUCAAUAUCAAAACAGG